CUUGGGGUGGCAGAGACUGGUUUUAAUGUAGAUUGGCCUAAGCCCUUUCCUUCAAGGGUUCAAUUCCCUUCCCCAAAA
rnacentral:tRNA from 1 species